rnacentral:tRNA from 1 species
GAUAUGGUCUAGUGGUUAGGAUACCUGGCUCUCACCCAGGAGGCUCGGGUUCGAUUCCCGGUAUC